UGGAUAUCAAGGUUCAGGAUGAGAGGAUGAAUCAUCUGCAUACUUUAUCCAAAAGGAACUGGGCUUUCUAAGCCCAAAGCUCUCAUGUGAUGUACAUAGUGAAGCUGAAGGCUAGGAUGUCAUGGUGUUAGGGAGGUUGGCUAUGCUCGCAAAGCAGGAAUGCUGAGUCAGUUGAUGGAGGCAGAUUUUGAUGAGUGUUGUGAAUUACUGGUUUGGCGUGGAACAUGAAAUGGCUUUGUACCAAGUCAUUGGCAAGGAGAAAAGAGCUGGCACGGGCGGAGACCCCGCUGGCUUAGAAGAGGACAAAGCUGACUGGAUGGUGGACGAUAGUUGCCCUUGUAUGGAGGUGGCUGUAGAAGGAAGAGAACAGUGCUGGGGAGUUCUGCAAGCUGAUUCGUUACCGGAAAAGGUUUGCUAACCCCUGAUGUCGAGGAAAGAACACGUCGCUCUAAGCCUUGGAUCAGACAACUUGGAAUCCACACUCGUUUUGAUAAUCUACCUUUCAAAGUUUUCAUUUCUCUUCUGAGAAAUGGGAGACUGUAUUCCUGGGGCCAACUGACCACUGAGCUCACUAAUUACGAUAAUUUAUGACACUGAAUAAAAUCAUGAAUGUGAAAAUGCACGUGAAGCUGUAAGAAGUUACACAGAAUGUUCAAUAUCAUUAGGGCUGUUUUCAAAGUAUCUGGCAAAAGAGAGACGGCCAAGAAAGUUGUUUUUUCCUCAAUAGAGGUGAAGAGGAAAUAAAUAAUAAUGAUUGCCAAAGAGUUCAUUAGUCUUUUUAUUUGUGUCAGUUAAUGUAUAGUUUGGAGGUGCUAUAAGCUGGGUUACUAAGAUUAAAGUGAAAGAAGUAAAAUCCACAGCCACCUUGAGGAUGGACUGAAAAAAGGUGUUAGGGGUGAGGUACAGCCAGGUAUUGUGGCAGUUAGAGGGGAGGCGGGCACAGGUCUGAGGGGAUGCCUACCUACCUGGGAGCUACAGAGUGGAACUGGCAGAAGGCAAGAAUGGGAAGACAAAUUCAGGAAAUACUGCAUUUAUAACAGCAGUUACGCAUUGUUUAUCUGAAAUGCAAACCUAGCCGGGCAUUUUAUAGUUUUAUUUGUGAAAUCUGGCAACUCUCCCCACUCUGUGUUGUUC
rnacentral:lncRNA from 1 species